rnacentral:rRNA from 1 species
UGGGGAAUUUUGGACAAUGGGCGCAAGCCUGAUCCAGCAAUGCCGCGUGAGUGAAGAAGGCCUUCGGGUUGUAAAGCUCUUUUGUCAGGGAAGAAACGGCGCCGGCUAAUAUCCGGCGCUAAUGACGGUACCUGAAGAAUAAGCACCGGCUAACUACGUGCCAGCAGCCGCGGUAAUACGUAGGGUGCAAGCGUUAAUCGGAAUUACUGGGCGUAAAGCGUGCGCAGGCGGUUUUGUAAGUCUGUCGUGAAAUCCCCGGGCUUAACCUGGGAAUUGCGAUGGAGACUGCAAGGCUAGAAUCUGGCAGAGGGGGGUAGAAUUCCACGUGUAGCAGUGAAAUGCGUAGAGAUGUGGAGGAACACCGAUGGCGAAGGCAGCCCCCUGGGUCAAGAUUGACGCUCAUGCACGAAAGCGUGGGGAGCAAACA